CUUCAGUCCACCUUGGCCAGAAGGGUAGGAGUGAGUCCGGAGAACUGGGACAGGAAAGUAGUUGAGAAGCAACUUCAUCCCUUUGAAUCAAAAGGUGGAGGCUGGGGAAAGGGAACCUCAGGCUGCUGAGAUCCGGCUCGAGCACUCUAAACCUUGGCAUCCUUCACACGCCCCGGCUCACGAUCGCGGAUGUGAAGUCAACUGGGUCGCAGAAGCCACGAGAUGGACAGGACCCUUGCUCAGAGCACGCAGGAGCAGGGUGGAGAGGCCCAGCCAGCAGAAGAAAGACAGGACGAAGCAUCCGAAAAGAGCAGAGACCAAGUUGCAGGCCUUGACUGUGGCAGAGCAGAAACAAUGGACCUCAAGUUCAACAACUCCAGGAAGUAUGUCUCCAUCUCAGUGCCCUCCAAAACGCAGGCCAUGUCGCCGCACAUCAAGUCAGUUGAGGACGUCGUGGUGCUGGGCGUGAACCUCAGCAAGUUUAGCAAGCUCACACAGUUUCUCAUCUGUGUGGCUGGAGUUUUUGUAUUUUACCUAAUUUAUGGAUACUUACAGGAGCUGAUCUUUUCAGUGGAAGGCUUUAAGCCUUACGGCUGGUACCUUACCUUAGUGCAGUUUGCCUUUUACUCCGUAUUUGGCCUAAUCGAGCUACAGCUCACUCAGGACAGAAGGAGAAGUCCAGUGUCACCUUCAGUGUCUUUCUUCAGUGUCUACGAGUAUCGUUGGAGCAGUCUUUCAGGAACUCCUUGGUUUAUUACAUUUAUUCCUAGAAUACCAGGAAAAACCUACAUGCUAAUAGCUUUUCUAACUGUGGGUACUAUGGGCUUAUCAAACACUUCCUUGGGCUACCUGAAUUACCCAACCCAAGUCAUCUUCAAGUGCUGCAAACUGAUUCCUGUUAUGCUAGGAGGAGUUUUUAUUCAAGGAAAGCGGUACAACCUUGCAGAUGUGUCUGCCGCAGUGUGCAUGAGCCUGGGCCUGAUCUGGUUUACCCUCGCUGACAGCACAAUUGCACCAAACUUUAAUCUGACAGGUGUGAUGCUUAUCUCCCUGGCGCUGUGUGCAGACGCUGUCAUUGGGAACGUUCAGGAGAAGGCCAUGAAACUGCACAAUGCUUCCAACUCGGAGAUGGUGAGGACCCCAGCACUUCCUCGAGUCUGUUUUGUAUUCCUACUCAAUCGGGUUUGUGUACAUUUUGCUGGGACUGUCAUGCACUAGUGGACUGGGCCCUGCAGUGGCAUUUUGUUCAAAGAACCCUGUUGGGACUUACGGCUACGCCUUCCUGUUUUCCCUCACUGGAUACUUUGGGAUCUCCUUUGUUCUGGCCCUCAUUAAAAUCUUCGGUGCACUUCUGGCUGUAACAGUGACAACAGGAAGGAAAGCAAUGACCGUUGUCCUGUCCUUCCUGUUCUUUGCUAAGCCGUUCACUUUUCAGUAAGUACUUAUGUAUCAGGGUUUCAAAGUUAGAUACUGGAUUUCAUAUUUCACCUUAAACAGCAGUGUUUUUCCAACUUUUACUUUUGUAAAAUUUAUGUUAACGUGUGUUAGCCUGUUGUCCUCCACAAAGAAUUCUUUUCAUCCCAGUCUCUUAUCUAUUAAGUGCCUUUUUCCUAUUUUAGGAAUCUGUGCAUAUCAUUUUAUAUACUUAAGUUACCCAGCUAAGCCCAGUGGAAAUGUGGUCUCGUUAGCAUGGGACUGCAUGAAAGGGGAGUGUAUGACGGACGCAGAGUGACUGACUGGGUGAAGGGUACACACCAGUGUGGCUGACUGUUAGUGGGGUGUGAGCACCAAUGUGACAGAGUGGGAGCAAGAUAUAUGUUCCAGUCUGGCCGAGUGUUUGUGGCGCGUCAGUGCCGAUGAGAGUGGAGUAUGCCAUGCACAAUGACUGAGUGCACGCGUGUAAUGCAGGAGCUGAGUAAACGAUUGUUCUUGUAUAUAUGUAAAGUAUAUGUUUAAAAUUCAUGUGUGUAAAAUUUUUAUUUAUAGCUUCCUUGCACAGCAAUAAGUGAUAGAAAGAUAUUCUGUAAAUUGUAUCCUAAUGAUUUUGUUGUGGGUUUUGUGAAAGUGUUCAGCAGUCUUUUUACUAUCUACAAAUAGGUAAUUUUAAAUAAAAUUGUAAAAUAAAUACCCAUCAGUAUAUUACAAGUUGUAUGUUGUUUAUAGAUAACCUUUCUUUAUAUGCUAUAAUACUUUAGUAAUUAAAUUAUGGUGAGCCUUUGCUUCCUGCAGACUGUGUCCUUUUUUGUCAUCUAUGUCCCACUUUACUGGGACAACCAGUUGAGUACUGGGUUGAACAUACAGUGUAGCCUUUGAUAGACAGGAAGCUGGUAUUUUAAAUAUAGUCUUAAGUCUCUUGGUAAUUGUUAGACUUUGAAUAUGCCAAUAACCCCAAAGUUUAAAUUACUCUCAUUUUGUAAAACUUUUUCCUGUAUGUGAUCAACCUAGUUUUUAAGGCUUCUUCUAUACAAUGUAGACAAUGAGCCAAAUCCACCUCCUACUCUCUCCUCUUUAAACUGCUGCUGGCCUCCCCUCCUGACAUUUCUGUCCCAACUGAAUGCAUUCUAUCUUUCAUUCACUACUGAGUCUAAUUGGUGCUGCUAGUCUGUGAGUGGAUGCAGGGCAACCCACAGCAUAUGUGACCAGCCUGGGGCUGCAUCCCUGAAGAAAAUUGAUGCUCCCUCCCUGGGCAUCCAUCAACUGCCAGUACCUUCGCUAGGUGAGGCUUCUUGAUGCUUAUAUUUUAUGUCAACUGGACACAGUCAGGAGUCUGCUUAUCAGAGGGAACCUAAAUUAGGAAAGUCUCCAUCAGAUUUGCCUAUAGGCAAGCCUACAGGCGUUUUCUUAUGACGCAUAUGUGAGGACUCACCUACCUCACUGUGCACAGUGCCAUCCCUGGGCAGGUGCUCCUGGGGUCUAUGCGAAAGCUACCUACGCAGGCCAGAAAGAUAAAACAGGUAAGCCAUGUUCCUCCAGGGCCUCUGCUUCUGUCCUACCUUAACCUCCCUCUGUAGAAAGGGACUUGGGAUGGGUAAGCCAGACAAAGCCAUUCUUCCUUGAGUUGCUUUUGGUUAUGGUUGUUAGCCGAACAGUGGGAACCAAACCGGACCAGGCUUCAUGAACCCCUCCCGUCUCCAUCCAACAUACGAUUCUAAUACAAUUAUUUAGACCUCUAAUAGCGAGUUUUUAUGUGAUUAAUUAUGGACUAACCACUCUAUGCCUUAAUUGCUACUAUCCACUUUCUCAUUUCUUUUUUAGGUAUAUAUGGUCUGGCUUGUUAGUUGUCCUUGGCAUAUUUCUCAAUGUUUACAGCAAAAAUAUGGAUAAAAUAAGAUUGCCAUCGGUGUACAACAUGAUAAAGAAAGCCAUGGACAUGAAAAAGUCAAGGACGUUGGCACAGACUGUGUAGGAACUGUGUUCUCCUAUUUAAAAUAAAGCUCUGUGGGAACAACCAUUAAUCAAUUCACUUUGCAAAGGCUUGUGAUACAAACCAAAGGAUCUGAAGGCCGCUGUCAGAUGAGCAGAUUGUACAUCCAGUGGUUCCUUGGCAUCCACCUCUACAGAAUACAGGCUUUUGAUCAACUCCAAAUGAUCAAGAGCCCACACCUAGGACGUGUUGCAAUAAAGUCAGUAUGAAGGAAAGUGCUUCCUAGCAAUGUUCUGAACAUUUCACUGGAAAUGGACCGUGUUGUAAGACUGAUUGGAAAUCCUCCCAGCCUGCAGCGCGGUACUGUGAGUGGCACUGUGUCUCCAUUCCGUUUUGCUGGUGUUAUUUAAAUUCUUCUCUGUUAUAAGAGUGAACUGAUGAUUUGAAGUGUAGAGAAAAUACCAUUCAUUUAUAAAUAAAAUUAUCCUGUGAUUUUUUUUAAA